rnacentral:rRNA from 1 species
AGUGAACGCUGGCGGUAGGCCUAACACAUGCAAGUCGAACGGCAGCACAGUAAGAGCUUGCUCUUACGGGUGGCGAGUGGCGGACGGGUGAGGAAUACAUCGGAAUCUACUUUUUCGUGGGGGAUAACGUAGGGAAACUUACGCUAAUACCGCAUACGACCUACGGGUGAAAGCAGGGGAUCUUCGGACCUUGCGCGAUUGAAUGAGCCGAUGUCGGAUUAGCUAGUUGGCGGGGUAAAGGCCCACCAAGGCGACGAUCCGUAGCUGGUCUGAGAGGAUGAUCAGCCACACUGGAACUGAGACACGGUCCAGACUCCUACGGGAGGCAGCAGUGGGGAAUAUUGGACAAAGGGCGCAAGCCUGAUCCAGCCAUACCGCGUGGGUGAAGAAGGCCUUCGGGUUGUAAAGCCCUUUUGUUGGGAAAGAAAAGCAGCAGGUUAAUACCCCGCUGUUCUGACGGUACCCAAAGAAUAAGCAGCGGCUAACUUCGUG